AUGCAAGUCGAGCGGUAACAGGUGUAGCAAUACAUGCUGACGAGCGGCGAACGGGUGAGUAAUGCUUCGGAAUCUGCCCAAUGGUGGGGAAUAACCAGCCGAAAGGUUGGCUAAUACCGCAUAAGUCCUACGGGGGAAAGCAGGGGAUCGCAAGACCUUGCGCCGAUGGAUGAGCCGAAGUCGGAUUAGCUAGUUGGUAGGGUAACGGCCUACCAAGGCGACGAUCCGUAGCUGGUCUGAGAGGACGACCAGCCACACUGGGACUGAGACACGGCCCAGACUCCUACGGGAGGCAGCAGUGGGGAAUAUUGGACAAUGGGGGAAACCCUGAUCCAGCGACGCCGCGUGUGUGAAGAAGGCCUGCGGGUUGUAAAGCACUUUUAGUGGGGAUGAAAAGCUCAGGGCUAACACCUCUGGGUCUUGACCUAACCCACAGAAAAAGCACCGGCUAACUCUGUGCCAGCAGCCGCGGUAAUACAGAGGGUGCGAGCGUUAAUCGGAAUUACUGCGCGUAAAGCGUGC
rnacentral:rRNA from 1 species